AUAUCAAUAAGCGGAGGAAAAGAAACCAACAGGGAUUGCCCCAGUAACGGCGAGUGAAGCGGCAACAGCUCAAAUUUGAAAUCUGGCCUCGGCCCGAGUUGUAAUUUGCAGAGGAAGCUUCUGGUGCGGCGCCGUCCGAGUCUCCUGGAACGGAGCGCCAUAGAGGGUGAGAGCCCCGUAUGGACGGAUGCCAAGCCUGUGUGAAGCUCCUUCGACGAGUCGAGUAGUUUGGGAAUGCUGCUCAAAAUGGGAGGUAAAUUCCUUCUAAAGCUAAAUAUUGGCCAGAGACCGAUAGCGCACAAGUAGAGUGAUCGAAAGAUGAAAAGCACUUUGAAAAGAGGGUUAAACAGCACGUGAAAUUGUUGAAAGGGAAGCGCUUGUGACCAGACUUGAGCGCGGCGGAUCAUCCGGUGUUCUCACCGGUGCACUCCGCCGUGUCCAGGCCAGCAUCGGUUUCCACGGGGGGACAAAGGUCCCGGGAACGUAGCUCCUCCGGGAGUGUUAUAGCCCGGGGCGUAAUGCCCCCGCGGGGACCGAGGACCGCGCAUCUGCAAGGAUGCUGGCGUAAUGGUCAUCAGCGA
rnacentral:rRNA from 1 species